rnacentral:lncRNA from 1 species
UCAUGAUCCCCACCGGGACCCUGAUACAGUUUUCAUAGAACUAGAAAGAUCCGUUCUAAAACACCGCUAGGGUCACCUGAGCGCCAGAUUGAUCCAAGGUCUACACCUGGUCCAAGCUCCUCCUGCAGUAUGGGCCUCUCACUCGACCCAGGACAGCACUGCGGUCAUCACCCUUCUGGACGCUCAGGGUGCCCACUGGCCAUGCCCGUCAGCCUCUGCCAUCCUGUGGGCCCCACAGCGGCCAGCAGAGGCCUGCAGCACAGUGGCUUUCUAGACGGCAGCCUCCUGCCUCUGAGUUGGCCUGGCUGGGCUCCCACCACCCUCACCUGAUGACCAGUGUCUGUGGGCCCUUCGCCUGUCCCAGAGCCACAGCUUCCAAGGGCCUGGGGCCCCAGGCCACCCUGAUGACCCGGCUCCAUGACUACAGGACCGCAGGCAGCUCUGGAGAGGGCCAGGCUGACCAGCACACACCGGGCCUUCUGCACGUCCUCUGCAUGGGUACACAGCCCACGUGGGCGUCUUCAGGUGGCUGCUGUCACUCACAGUCUUUUCCUGGUCCCAUUGACAUGCAGUCCUCUGCAUGUUCUGUCCUGAGUUCACCCUUUCCGUGUGUCACGUGAGUUUCACAGGCCAGGGGCCGUCACAUCAAGCCGUAGGACGUGCCCACACCCAAGGCCUGCCCGGGACUCAGCGGGCGGCCGCCCCGGCCCUCCCCAGCCCCUGUGGGUCAGUGCUGUCCAAGGUUGGCUGGUUGGGUGGGGCUGGACUGCGGCUCCACUGCUGAACGGGCUGUCCUCUCCCCAACCCCAUUGCCGUCUGGAUCUCCGCAUCUUUGUCAGGUUCCUGGACUCUGUUCGGUCCCUCCACCUGCGGGCCUGCUCUCUGCCAACGCCAGUUCUGCCCCACCUUGCCCCUGCAGCUCCUGGAGGGACCGGAGUCAAGUGCCGGGGCUGUCCAGCCCCAUUCCUUUUCAAAAUCCCACUCGCUUGCCGCUCUGGUCACUUAGCCUUUCUGUGUGGAUUCAGAAUUAGCUUGUCCUUUCCAUCCCCGAAGCCUGCUGGGGUGUUGGCUGGGGACUGCAUUGAACAUAUGGAUCCGUGUG